ensembl:lncRNA
CACAGCUGCAUGCAAUGUACCUGAGUGACCGGAAGGGGUGGAGCCAGUAUCCACCCCUUCCUAGACCUUGUUUAAGGGCUGGCAGUAGAGGUGAGGGUCUCUCUCUCUCAGGAGAUCUCUGUGUACCUGAGACCUGCUAAAGGGGGACUAUGUGUGAGAUUUCUGGGGACACAGCCUCCCAUCCCUCUCCCACAGCAUUCUCUGCUUCCCCAGAUGAAGAAGUGAUGGGGUAGGGAUGUCACUGCAGUGGAAGCAGCAUGAUUCAGAAAGUAUCAAAACACUCCCACAGCCAAAGAAGUCCUCCAGCAAACUGUGUGAGAUUAUUCAAACUUCAGCAUGGGAUCUACCAACCUCACAGGCCUGGUGCAACAUGUGAGGUACUUGUUUCGGAAAACACAUUGCCACAGAGAAGAAUCCGGGAGUAUUGUCAGCUUUCCUAAUGUUUUAUAUCACUUUAACCUUUCUAGAUUUGUUCCUUUUUUUUUUUUUUUUUUAAUUCUUCCUCACAUUCUGCUUCUACUCAGCACUGAGCUGAGCUCUUCUAUUUCUUACUAAUGUAAAAACACAGAUAUUUCCAACCAUUACAGUUAAUUGAGAAUCCAAAUAUGUAUUCAGUGGUAAGUAUUCCUCCAGAAUUUGUAUUUCUCAACAAUUAAUCCCUUCUGAUGUUAUGUUUCCUGCUGAUCUGACUUGUUUUCUUUGGGUCUCUGAAAUGUCAGCUUUAGUCUAAAUAAUAUCCUG